CUUCGCGCCCCAGCCGCCCCAUGGACGGACUACAAGUCCCAGCAGGUUGUGCGGCCCGCGCAAGCGCGGGAGGGCCACGCCGCUCCGGCCCCCCGCAGCCGCUCGUGGGUCCCUGCGGAGCUGUCGCCGCGGCCUGGCUGGCGGCCUGGGGCUCUCGGGAGCUCUGUAGCGGAGAGGAAGGCGGCCGAGGGAAAAGCGAGCUUAGUGCAGCUCUUGUUGAGGCGUGGAGCUACAGGCGGCUGCAAGACCCUCUGGGCCAACCCUCUGUUUGCCCGGUUUGCAGAGGGAAACUGAGGCGGGGGCAAGGGCGCGCAGGAUUGCCUUUCCCCUCGUGAGCAGGGUAGGAUUCGGGCACGGGGCUCCUGACUCCAGGUCUAAGGCCGCACACCCCAGGCUCUGGCGCGCCGCCCCGGCUGGCGCCUUGGUCUGGCUCGACUGGCGCCCGGGGAGGGGGCGCGUCCCACGCCAGGGCAGUCCGGGCCCAGCCCCCGCUGUGACCGACUGCCCUCUGUGACGUCAGCAGCGUCCCUCUACCCUGAAGAGCGGCCAGGAGCGAGGCCAGAGGACAGUGGCUCCUGGGGAGAGCUGAAGUCUUGGAGAAGUAGCCAUGGGCAAGGCCAGUCGGCCUCAGCCACACGGUCUCAGCCACACACACCCUAGAAACCCAGAAGCCUUGGCUGGGUGGCUGGUCUGCAGCUGCAGGGUUCCAACGCCUGCCCACUGGGGCCUUGUGCCCAGAACGCAGGUGUUAUAUGAUGGAAGGAGCACUAGAAGGGGUCAGAUAUCCUGUUUCCCACCCAGCUCCCGCUCUCAGCCGUGGGACCUUGAGCAAAUCCCUUUGUCUGUGGGCAUGGGGGCCCCAUCUGUGACGUGGCUGGGUGAAGGAUCCACAGCUGGCGGAGAGCAUUCAAUUUGGGUUGUUAGUCCUGGCAGGGCAGAUGGGACCAGUAGGGGUAGAGGCCCUAGGGGUCUGACCGCCUGCCUGGUGGGGAGCCUGGUUUCUCCAUCUGCUGGUGCAAGAAACCUCUGUCUCAGUGCUCAGUGUUGAGGAUUGCACCAGCUGAUGCAUGCUGUGCCCCAGCGUGAGCUGAGAUCAAUAAAUAUUUUUGAUGUUAUCCUGCUAUUAGUAUUACUCUCAGUGCCUUACAUAGGGCCUGGCACAGAGUGGGUGCGAUACAAAUACCUGUUGAGUAAAAGAAGAGAAGGUUGGAGGGAAGGAGAGAGGGGCUGACACUCAGCACCUGGCCCCUCCGGACCAUCACCCUGGGAGGCAGGCCGGAGCACCUCUGGGACCCUUUGUCCUCUUUAGGAAGCUCCCCACAGGGAGGUGGGGACCGGCACUUGCUUACGAGUCCCUGUGAGUCAGAGGGUGGACAUAGUGGCCCAGUUCCUGGCCGGUCCCAGAGCUUAGCCUGCUGUGUGGCCGCCUAGGCCUCCCUGUGGAGCCAGUCCCGCCUCUCCGAGCAACCACCUUCAAAUGGGGCGGGCGCUGGGGAGUCACAGCAGUCCUCGGCUUGGAGGGACCUCAGGGUCAUGUGGUUCCAGCACAUUCUUUCAUGAGGGCAGAACCUAAGGCCGAAGGAGGUCCUGCCCAGAGUCACCAGGCAGGUUAGCGGCAAGGGAGGGGCUCCAGCCGGGUGUCCUGUAGCCGAGCCACCACCCCUCUGCCCUCACUCGGCCGGCUCCCAGCAGGGUGAACUGCCAGUGGGCCGGGCUGCUCGCUGCUUCCUCCCGGGCGUCUGUUGAGGGGCGUCGAUUUGGGGAGACUGAGCCAGACUUUGGUUCCCACCCCAGUGCUGCAAAAGGGGUGACCUUGGGCAACUAGCCUGCUCUCUCUGUGCCUAUUUCCUUAUCCUUCCAACCCCAGCACCUGCCCCAUAGGGCUGUUAGAGGACUGAAUGGGUGAUGCGAGUAAACCCUGCAGAGCGCCCGACGAGAAGUGAGGGCUCCGGAAGUGAUGGCUAUUAUUAUAAUGUUGUUAUUGAAACCGACCAGGGAGCAAGAUGUGCCCUUGCUUCCCCUCGGAGACUGCUGCCUUUUCUCACUGGUCUUUCAUUUAUCCAUCCAUCAACAUUUACAGAACAUCCCCAGUGUACUGGGCACUGUUCUUGUGAAGAAAACAGACAAGAAUUUGUUUCGCGAGUCACAGGAUCCAUUGUAGAAAAUGCUGCCACCUGCUUUUCGAGCAGACCCUGGGGGAGGGGGUGUCAGAGGGCCUUCGAGGAGCCCCUUGACACAAGGAGGCCCCAGACAGGCUAACAGUCAAACCAAGAUCCUUUCAGUGUUUGUUAAGAGUGCGUUCAGGAGAGCUGGCUGGCUGGUCCAGGUGCAGGAGGAGGAGCAGGAGGCGGGGAGGGGCGGCCCUUGCUGCCUCCCACCAUCGUCCUCCUGCCCGGGCCACACCUGCAGACAGAGGGGACACCCUGCAUCACCCAGGCCUCUCCUGCAGACAGGGCUCCUCAGGGUGCCCCAUACCUAAAGCACUCAUCAAACGGUCCCGUUGGGUUAUCCCCCAUCUCCUUUCACUGGGGGUUCCCUUCAAGCCCCUCACAGGUGGGUGCCCCAGGCAGCGGCCCUGCUGGCCCCUCCACCCGGCUCCAUGCCCGCCCUGGAUGCACAUGCCUCUGCCUUAUGUCCUGCCAAAUGUUUCAAUUGGUUUAAUCCUGACGCCCCUGGAAGUAGGGCAGUGGGCUUCUACCCUACAGGCUUGGAGAGGGGCCGAGACUGGGCCAGGCCCUACUUGGGAAGCACAGAGGGGUGGAGCUUUCCACGGGACCUGCACACUAGGACCCUGGCUGGCAGGAGCCUCCAGCCUGCAGCGCUGGCGGCCUUCCUCCCUCUGGGCACAGGCCUUGGGCGCUGGGCCUGCCUCCUGUGCUCCCCGGCCACCUUUGGGAUUAGGAGGCCCUCAGAGCGGGGCACCUCCACCUUCCCCCUGCUUUGUGGCCUGUGCUCUCCUUGUCCAAACCUGGGCACCGGGGGGAGAGUGGUGUAACGGGGCUGAGAUGCCCAAGCGCCUGGGUCAUAAAGGAGGACGUGCCCUGUGCCAGCAGGCAGGGGCCAGAAGCUCAGGAGGCCAGGAGAGGAGGGUGGGACCUGGGGGAAACACGGGGCUCCACCCCACCCACCUCUUCUAAGUGUCCUCAGCACUUGUUAUGGGAUGUGGGUUGUUCCAGUGAUGGAGGGAGCGGAGGAUGGGGAGGCAGAUCCAGACCCGUGGCCAGCUUGGUUCCAGGGUCUGUCUUCCUCAGCUGCGCUCUGCUCUCCCGUGGGCACCGAGGUGUACAUGUGGGGCUCCUUUCCUGGUAACUCAGAG
rnacentral:lncRNA from 1 species